rnacentral:tRNA from 14 species
GGGGACGUGGUGAAGCCUGGUUAUCACGCCGGUCUGUCACACCGGUGGCCGCGGGUUCAAAUCCCGUCGUCCCCGCCA